AUACUUAUAUUCCUGUGAUAUCAAAUACCAAAUUGAACUUCGUAUCUUAUAUGCAUACUGUCAGUCAUUCCAACAAGUUGACUUAGUGCUGAGUCCAUUUCUAUCCAUCAGAUCCUCAUGCAGUCAAAAGCCUAAAACUCAUGUUUGAAGCACCCAUAUUUUGGAAUACAAAUGUGUAGAGAUAAGGAUCUUUUCUGAAUCUCACAAUUUUGGUGGCGUACCCUGUAACAGCAUGUUUGUUGUUGUUGAUGUUUUUACUUCUUUUUAGAAGGCAACCCAGCUAAGAGAUAGAGUUUCAGUGACAUGAAGAGUGUGAAGUGAACCACCUAUC